AGGGAGCAAGGCCGCCCACGUGUGGACGGAAGGAGAGUACCUGGAGAAAAAGCAUCGGCUAACUCCGUGCCAGCAGCCGCGGUAAUACGGAGGAUGCGAGCGUUAUCCGGAUUUAUUGGGUUUAAAGGGUGCGUAGGCGGCCUGCCAAGUCAGCGGUAAAAUUGCGGGGCUCAACCCCGUACAGCCGUUGAAACUGCCGGGCUCGAGUGGGCGAGAAGUAUGCGGAAUGCGUGGUGUAGCGGUGAAAUGCAUAGAUAUCACGCAGAACCCCGAUUGCGAAGGCAGCAUACCGGCGCCCUACUGACGCUGAGGCACGAAAGUGCGGGGAUCAAACAGGAUUAGAUACCCUGGUAGUCCGCACAGUAAACGAUGAAUGCUAGCUGUCCGGGGGGAUUGACCCCUGG
rnacentral:rRNA from 1 species